rnacentral:rRNA from 1 species
UCUGCGAUAAGCGUCGGUAAGGUGAUAUGAACCGUUAUAACCGGCGAUUUCCGAAUGGGGAAACCCAGUGUGUUUCGACACACUAUCAUUAACUGAAUCCAUAGGUUAAUGAGGCGAACCGGGGGAACUGAAACAUCUAAGUACCCCGAGGAAAAGAAAUCAACCGAGAUUCCCCCAGUAGCGGCGAGCGAACGGGGAGGAGCCCAGAGCCUGAAUCAGUGUGUGUGUUAGUGGAAGCGUCUGGAAAGGCGCGCGAUACAGGGUGACAGCCCCGUACACAAAAAUGCACAUACUGUGAGCUCGAUGAGUAGGGCGGGACACGUGGUAUCCUGUCUGAAUAUGGGGGGACCAUCCUCCAAGGCUAAAUACUCCUGACUGACCGAUAGUGAACCAGUACCGUGAGGGAAAGGCGAAAAGAACCCCGGCGAGGGGAGUGAAAAAGAACCUGAAACCGUGUACGUACAAGCAGUGGGAGCCUCUUUUAUGGGGUGACUGCGUACCUUUUGUAUAAUGGGUCAGCGACUUAUAUUCUGUAGCAAGGUUAACCGAAUAGGGGAGCCGAAGGGAAACCGAGUCUUAACUGGGCGUUAAGUUGCAGGGUAUAGACCCGAAACCCGGUGAUCUAGCCAUGGGCAGGUUGAAGGUUGGGUAACACUAACUGGAGGACCGAACCGACUAAUGUUGAAAAAUUAGCGGAUGACUUGUGGCUGGGGGUGAAAGGCCAAUCAAACCGGGAGAUAGCUGGUUCUCCCCGAAAGCUAUUUAGGUAGCGCCUCGUGAAUUCAUCUCCGGGGGUAGAGCACUGUUUCGGCAAGGGGGUCAUCCCGACUUACCAACCCGAUGCAAACUGCGAAUACCGGAGAAUGUUAUCACGGGAGACACACGGCGGGUGCUAACGUCCGUCGUGAAGAGGGAAACAACCCAGACCGCCAGCUAAGGUCCCAAAGUCAUGGUUAAGUGGGAAACGAUGUGGGAAGGCCCAGACAGCCAGGAUGUUGGCUUAGAAGCAGCCAUCAUUUAAAGAAAGCGUAAUAGCUCACUGGUCGAGUCGGCCUGCGCGGAAGAUGUAACGGGGCUAAACCAUG